rnacentral:tRNA from 3 species
GCCGGAGUAGCUCAGUGGCAGAGCAACGCAUUCGUAACGCGUAGGUCGUGGGUUCGACUCCCAUCUCCGGCU